rnacentral:ncRNA from 2 species
UCAGCCGGAAUUGCCUGAGGUGCUCCGGUCGUGAAAACGCUCGGAGAAAAGGGAACACGGGGAACCUGAUCGAGGUUCGAGCCGUGGCUGCGCCCGCAACUGUAAGCGCCAAGGCUCCCCGAAUGCCACUGGACCAUGUCUGGGAAGGCGGGGAAGCCGAUGAAGCGUGAGCCAGGAAACCUGCCUCAAGCCGUCACCCUCC